AGAUUCCGUCGCUUCUUCCGGAGCCGUACGUGGCACCGCCCCGCUCGCGGGCGGCCGCGGGGCUUGCUGGGAAGAGAGGCGAAGCCAGGUCACCUUUCAAGGACCCAGAAGUAGGGUUUUGGCCUAGGUAACGGGGCAGAGAUGUGGUUCGAGAUUCUCCCCGGACUCUCCGUCAUGGGCGUGUGCUUGUUGAUUCCAGGACUGGCUACUGCGUACAUCCACAGGUUCACUAACGGGGGCAAGGGUUUGGAGAACAUUGAUUAAGGAAGCAUUUUCCUGAUUGAUGAAAAAAAUAACUCAGUUAUGGCCAUCUACCCCUGCUAGAAGGUUACAGUGUAUUAUGUAGCAUGCAAUGUGUUAUGUAGUGCUUAAUAAAAAUAAAAUGAAAAAAAUGC
rnacentral:lncRNA from 1 species